rnacentral:rRNA from 1 species
AACGAACGCUGGCGGCAUGCCUAACACAUGCAAGUCGAACGAGACCUUCGGGUCUAGUGGCGCACGGGUGCGUAACGCGUGGGAACCUGCCCUUAGGUUCGGAAUAACUCCCCGAAAGGGGUGCUAAUACCGGAUAAUGUCUUCGGACCAAAGAUUUAUCGCCUUUGGAUGGGCCCGCGUUGGAUUAGCUAGUUGGUAGGGUAAAAGCCUACCAAGGCGACGAUCCAUAGCUGGUCUGAGAGGAUGAUCAGCCACACUGGGACUGAGACACGGCCCAGACUCCUACGGGAGGCAGCAGUGGGGAAUAUUGGACAAUGGGCGAAAGCCUGAUCCUGCAAUGCCGCGUGAGUGAGGAGGGCCUUAGGGUUGUAAAGCUCUUUUACCCGGGAUGAUAAUGACAGUACCGGGAGAAUAAGCUCCGGCUAACUCCGUG